rnacentral:tRNA from 1 species
GGGAAUGUGGCUUAGUGGUAGAGUGCUUGCUUAGCAUGCAUGAAGCCCUGGGUUCGAUUCCUAGUACCA